UACGAGGGGGGCAAGCGUUGUUCGGAAUUAUUGGGCGUAAAGGGCGCGUAGGCGGUGCGGUACGUCACCUGUGAAACCUCUAGGCUCAACCUAGAGCCUGCAGGCGAAACUGCCGUGCUUGAGGGUGGGAGAGGUGCGUGGAAUUCCCGGUGUAGCGGUGAAAUGCGUAGAUAUCUGGAGGAACACCGGUGGCGAAGGCGGCAUCCUGGACCAACACUGACACUGAGGAGCGAAAGCCAGGGGAGCAAACGGG
rnacentral:rRNA from 1 species